UACGUAGGUGGCGAGCGUUAUCCGGAUUUAUUGGGCGUAAAGGGUGCGCGGGCGGCUUAUUAAGUCUAAAAUUAAACCUUGGGGCUCAACCCCAUUUCGUUUUAGAAACUGAUAGGCUCGAGUAUGGUAGAGGCAAACGGAAUUCCUAGUGUAGCGGUGGAAUGCGUAGAUAUUAGGAGGAACACCAGUGGCGAAGGCGGUUUGCUAGGCCAUUACUGACGCUCAUGCACGAAAGCGUGGGGAGCAAAUA
rnacentral:rRNA from 1 species